AUGUCUGGAAAUGAUUCUCAGGCUGCAGCUGACAGAAUAAAGGCACAGGCCUUAUCAAAUGCAAAGGGAUUGAGCAGGGCUCAAGCUGAACGUGCAGCGGAAGCUGCUGCUCGCAAUGUCAAUGCCUAUGGGCAGAAGGAAGAGGGACCAAGUCGCUGGCAGGAGAGGAAGGAAGCCAAGAGGCAGAUGUAUCUGAUGAGUACAGAGAAGGCUGUGAGGCUGGGUGUGAGACCAAAUGCUGCACCAGCUUCUGCAACUGCUGGGGGCCAAUGUCAGAAGUGCUUCCAGCCUGGGCACUGGACAUACGAGUGCAAGAAUGAACGGGUCUACAUAUCGCGGCCCUCAAGGACGGAUCAGCUUAAGGACCCCAGGUUGAAGAAGGCGUGGCUGCCGGCACCCUCUCAGUUCGUGAACCCCGAUCUGGAGAAGGAGAUGGAGGAGGAAAGGAAGCUGAUGCGAGAAAAGCUGAAGAAGGAGAAGUCUGAGAAAAGGAAGUCAAGGAGCAAGUCAAAGAGCAAGAGGAAACAUCGCGCGUCGGUGUCUGACUCCGACUCGGACUCUGAAUCAUCGGGGACCGGCUCCGAGUACUCUUCUGAGAGCGGCAGCUCAAGCUACAGCUCCUCGGACUCGGAGGACAAGAAGAAGCGCCGACGCAAGACGACGCAGAAGAAGAGAAGGCACCGGAGGGACAGCACGUCGUCCUCCUCUGGAUCUGAAUCUGAGUCCGAUUCUGAUUCUGAUUCUGACGGCAAGGGCAGCCGGAAGAAGAGCAAGAAGCACGGCGACAAGCGCCGAUCCUGA
rnacentral:rRNA from 1 species